ACCAUCAUGCCCAUGGUCACACAAGAUGUCAUGGCCGAAAAUGUUCUCAAAGAUGAACUCAUUUAGGGUUCUUACCCCCGAGUCCAUGGAGCCCUAAAAAGAAGAGACCAGAGACAUCACUCCCCGUCCCUCUUCCUUCUUCUCCAUGUGAGGACACAGCAAGAAGGUUGCCUUCUGCAAGCCAGGAAGAGAGCCCUCCCCAGGUCCCAACCAUGCUGGCAUCCCGAUCUUGGACUUCCAGCCUCCAGAACUGUGAGACUAAUCUAUGAAAAGAAAAGAAGAAAAGCUUAUCCCAGAAAAAAAUAAAACAGAAAAUGAAGAUCACCCCACGUGACUGUGAAAGGAAAAUAAAUCUUGGGACCCCAAACUCAUUAAGCCAAAGGGAAAAGUCAAGCCGGGAACUGGGUCACACAAACCUGCCUCCCCGUUUUGAUUCCUAAAUAAGAUGAACUGCUACACACCUCCCUCAUAUUUUGCCCACAAGGAAAUUCCUGGUGAGCUUGGAGAUAUUUACCCUAAAGCAUUUCUGUUAAAAUUCACCAUGGCAAUGUAAAUGGAUAGCUUAUCUUUACACAGUAUUCUCCCCUCUGCUCACCUGGCACAAAUGCAUAUCUGAUUGUUCCCCUGCCUCAUUUAUCUUUAUCUUAUGUAAAAAUGUCGAUUUCCUGCAUGUUCCCCAUCUGUCUAUGUUACCUUAUGUAAAAAUGCAGAUUCACUGGGCCAGACAAAGGCACGAAUGAUUAUUUUCCCCCACCCCCCUCUUACAUGAAACUGUGUGCUUCUCAAUAUCCUUUCCCCUUUAAAUCUGGAGCCCUCAAAAUCAUCUUCGGAGAAAGGCACAGACCUGUCUCCUGGGCGCGCGUCCUUAACUUUGACAAAUACACCUCCUAAAAUGACUGAGACCUGUCUCAUCAUUCUUCUGGAUCGACACCACCUAGAGAUAGCAGCUGUUAAAUACUCUUUGGGAUACAGAAAAGCCACACUUACAAACACACGCAGACCCGCUUGCUUACGGGGUGCGUGCAUUUGAAGUGUGUGCAUUUGUGAUAUGCCUGUUCACUUUCGCUGUGGAGGAGACUGUUCCAUCUCCACAGAGACCUGCGGUACCUUUU